ACUAAAUAGAUACCCCGGUAGUCCACGCCGUAAACGAUGGAUACUAGCUGUUCGGAGCAAUCUGAGUGGCUAAAGCGAAAAAGUGAUAAGUAUCCCACCUGGGGAGUACGCACGCAAGUGUGAAACUCAAAGGAAUUGACGGGGGCCCGCACAAGCGGUGGAGCAUGUGGUUUAAUUCGAUGAUACGCGAGGAACCUUACCAGGGCUUAAAUGUAGAUUGACAGGACUGGAAACAGUUUUUCUUCGGACAAUUUACAAGGUGCUGCAUGGUUGUCGUCAGCUCGUGCCGUGAGGUGUCAGGUUAAGUCCUAUAACGAGCGCAACCCCUGUCGUUAGUUGCCAGCGAGUCAUGUCGGGAACUCUAACGAGACUGCCAGUGUAAACUGUGAGGAAGGU
rnacentral:rRNA from 1 species